UUGAUCCCAACUAAAAUAUAAUUAAUCCUUUAAAGUUAUCCUUUAUUUUAAGGCAGCAUUAAGGAUUUGGAUUUUCAAGCAUGACUUGGGACACAACAGCCAAGCAUACGACGCAUUAACUCAAAUCCCAGAUCCUCGCAGGCAACGGGACUGUUUACGGCAUCUCAUAGUGGUUCUGUGUGAGAGCUCCCAGCUGCAAGACCUUGUAGAGUUUCCAUAUGUAAAUCACCAUAAUGAGACCAAGUGACCAACGCAGAAAAUAUUCCCCCGGACCAGAAACCGCUUUCAGAGACUUGUGUAAAUGCUGGUCUGCCAGGCGGAUGUCUAAGAAACAUCGGCAGAAGAUCCUCAUAAUGCAUCUGGAAAAAGAGACCGCACAAUCUAA